CUACGGAGGGUGCAAGCGUUAUUCGGAAUCACUGGGCGUAAAGGACGCGUAGGCGGGUUGGCAAGUCAGAUGUGAAAUCCUACAGCUUAACUGUAGAACUGCAUUUGAAACUGCUAACCUAGAGUAUGGGAGGGGGAGAUGGAAUUAGUGGUGUAGGAGUAAAAUCCGUAGAUAUCACUAGGAAUACCGAAAGCGAAGGCGAUCUCCUGGAACAUAACUGACGCUAAGGCGUGAAAGCGUGGGGAGCAAACAGGAUUAGAAACCCUAGUAGUCC
rnacentral:rRNA from 1 species